rnacentral:rRNA from 1 species
GAUGAACGCUGGCGGCGUGCCUAAUACAUGCAAGUCGAGCGAACAGACGCGGCGCUUGCUCCUCUGACGUUAGCGGCGGACGGGUGAGUAACACGUGGAUAACCUACCUAUAAGACUGGGAUAACUUCGGGAAACCGGAGCUAAUACCGGAUAAUAUAUUGAACCGCAUGGUUCAAUAGUGAAAGACGGUUUUGCUGUCACUUAUAGAUGGAUCCGCGCCGCAUUAGCUAGUUGGUAAGGUAACGGCUUACCAAGGCGACGAUGCGUAGCCGACCUGAGAGGGUGAUCGGCCACACUGGAACUGAGACACGGUCCAGACUCCUACGGGAGGCAGCAGUAGGGAAUCGGCCGCAAUGGGCGAAAGCCUGACGGAGCAACGCCGCGUGAGUGAUGAAGGUCUGCGGAUCGUAAAACUCUGUUAUUAGGGAAGAACAAAUGUGUAAGUAACUAUGCACGUCUUGACGGUACCUAAUCAGAAAGCCACGGCUAACUACGUG